rnacentral:rRNA from 1 species
CCUUUCUUCUCUAAGUGGGCUCAGAUGGGCUCACUGUGAUACUGAGAUGGGUCU